rnacentral:rRNA from 1 species
CCUUGGGAGGGGAACAACAACUGGAAACGGUUGCUAAUACCCCGUAGGCUGAGGAGCAAAAGGAGAAAUCCGCCUAAGGAGGGGCUCGCGUCUGAUUAGCUAGUUGGUGAGGCAAUAGCUUACCAAGGCGAUGAUCAGUAGCUGGUCCGAGAGGAUGAUCAGCCACACUGGGACUGAGACACGGCCCAGACUCCUACGGGAGGCAGCAGUGGGGAAUUUUCCGCAAUGGGCGAAAGCCUGACGGAGCAAUGCCGCGUGGAGGUGGAAGGCCUACGGGUCGUCAACUUCUUUUCUCGGAGAAGAAACAAUGACGGUAUCUGAGGAAUAAGCAUCGGCUAACUCUGUGCCAGCAGCCGCGGUAAUACAAGAGGAUGCAAGCGUUAUCCGGAAUGAUUGGGCGUAAAGCGUCUGUAGGUGGCUUUUCAAGUCCGCCGUCAAAUCCCAGGGCUCAACCCUGGACAGGCGGUGGAAACU